rnacentral:lncRNA from 1 species
AAAAACAAAAAAAAAGAAAGAAAAAGAAAACAAAAAAAAAGAGAGACUAUCAAUGAUGUCAUUUGCUGACAAUCCCUUGUGUUUCAUCGUUCUGUUGUCUUUUUUAUUAUCAAGUUUAAUGUUUUUAUGUCUUUUCAGAAUUGUCAGUGUGUUAAUACCUGAAUUUGCAUGAUGAAAAUCUCUUAGACUUGCACAUAAAAGAAUAACAGACGUGUGACUGCUCAUGAAGUGCAAUGGUUCAAGAGACAAAGAGACGAAUUGGAAAGAUGGAGUUUUGCACAGUGUACUAGUUCAAUCUUCAGAUACCUCAGCUGGUGAGCAUAUUGAGCCAAAUAAAUUCCAUGGUAUACCCUUUUCUUUCACAGCUUAUGAGUGUAUCCAUGCUUUGUAUAUUUUCUAGAACUUGCGACUAUUCUCUACUGUUGAUUGGU